CUGUUCCAGAAGGAGUAAAAAAUAACCAGAAUGCAAUAACCCAACCCUGACCCCCAGCCAAUAAGAAAAUGAAGUCACACAUCACCAGGGCACUCAUAGCAAUGGAAUGCAUCAGGCAGACGAAAGCUCUGUUUCAGCAAGGAGAGAGUUACUCUCAGAACAUAGCUGUUGCAGGCAACGAGAACAAUGAGGAGAGACUGGCCUAGAGGAGACGAGAAUAACACUUCAAACCCACGUUUGCUUCUAGGUCUCCUCUCUCCCAGCCUAAUCGAGUGCUGCCUUUUCUGGAGCUUCUAAAAACCCGGCACUGCCAGAUCUGAGGUACAGGAAAAAUGUACCCUCCCCUCUUCCAGCUCCUCAAAUCACCUGCCCACCUUGCUUUCCAAAGGAAAGCAAGACAAUACGAGCCUUUUCUCAAAUGGCUGUCACCUACUCAGGGGCUAUGAAAAGAAUUUAGAGCGUCGAGAUGGAAAUGUCACAGGAGAAAAUGAAGUGAAGGCCAGGAGAUGAUUUUCAAAGAAGUUUUAAGAAAUUCAGAUUUUUUUUACUAUCUCUUUAAUUCAGUUUUUCUAAGUGUGUGAGGCUGGAACAAGUGCGUGUAUGUGUGUGUGCAUAUACAUACACUGCAUAUGUGUAUACACACAUGCAUAUAUACACGAUACACACACACACAUAUACAUAUGCAAAUACAUGUGAUUGAAAUAAAAGCCACCCAGUGAUUUCUUCUGUCCA
rnacentral:lncRNA from 13 species